UAAGUACUUCCAUGCUU
rnacentral:miRNA from 1 species